ACGGUCCUAAGGUAGCGAAAUUCCUUGUCGGGUAAGUUCCGACCCGCACGAAUGGCGUAACGAUUUCUCCACUGUCUCCAACAUCACUUCAGCGAAAUUGAAUUCCCCGUGCAGAUGCGGGGUACCCGCGGUUAGACGAAGAGACCCCGUGCACCUUUACUAUAGCUUUACAUUGCUAUUAAAAGUGUGAUGUGCAGGAUAGGUGGGAGACUUUGAAGUUAUGGCGCUAGCUAUAAUGGAGUCAACCUUGAGAUACCACCCUUUACACUUUUGAUAUCUAACUAUGUUUCAUUAUCUGGAACUAGGACAUUGUAUGGUGGGUAGUUUGACUGGGGCGGUCGCCUCCUAAAAAGUAACGGAGGCGUGCGAAGGUAAGCUAGAGCUGGUCGGAAAUCAGCUUGAUAGUAUAAUGGCAUAAGCUUGCCUGACUGCGAGGCUGACAAGCCAAGCAGAGACGAAAGUCGGUCAUAGUGAUCCGGUGAUUCUGUAUGGAAGGGUCAUCGCUCAACGGAUAAAAGGUACGCCGGGGAUAACAGGCUGAUGGUGUUCGAGCGUUCAUAGCGACGACACCGUUUGGCACCUCGAUGUCGACUCAUCACAUCCUGGGGCUGAAGAAGGUCCCAAGGGUUCGGCUGUUCGCCGAUUAAAGUGAUACGUGAGUUGGGUUUAGAACGUCGUGAGACAGUUCGGUUUCUAUCUGCCGUGGGUGAAGGAAAUUUGAGAAGGUCUGACUCUAGUACGAGAGGACCGAGAUGGAUAUACCUCUGGUGUACCAGCUGUUAUGCCAAUAGCAUCGCUGGGUGGCUAUGUAUAGAUGGGAUAAUUGCUGAAAGCAUAUAAGCAAGAAACCCUCUUCAAAAAAAUUUCCCAAUUAAGGCCGUGGAAGACUACCACGUUGAUAGGCUAGGUGUGGAAGCAUGGUAACAUGUGAAGCUAACUAGUACUAAUAGCCUGAUUGAUUUAUUUGCUUUC
rnacentral:rRNA from 1 species